AUUAUUAUUUACUUUUUAUUUUUUAUAUUUGUAUAAAUUUUUUAAAUAAGACGAGUGUUCAAACAUUACAAGUAACAAAAAAAAAACUCAAAAUUCAUAUUAUGGGACGGAGGGAGUACUCUCGGUUUCUCGUCACAUCUCUCUCUCGGUCUCUCCUCUGCCUCUUCACGCGUGCCUGAGAGGAAGACGCCAACGACGGCAGUCGGAACGGGACGGCGAUGGGGGGAAGAGAGUGGAAUAAGGGAGCAGCGCCGGUGGGGAAAGGGAGGCUGGGGCGCUGGCUGCUCGGGCUGGGCGGCGUGGCAAGAGGCGGCACGACGGCGCUCGGCGCUUGGCGCGGCGGCACGGCCGGCGUCCGGGAGCCAGGGACGACGGCGACGGCGGAGAAGAGGAGGUGGCGGCACGAGGAGGAGACUGCCUCGGCGCUGUCGGCGGGGCUGUGCCCGGCUGAGCUCCGGCCGGCCAGCGUGGUGGAGGGAGGGCGGUGGAGAUCAGGGAGACGGCAAGAGGAGGCCGUGUCCGUGGUCGGCGACCUGGUGACGGCGUUCGUCCCGGCACGGUGACGCCGCCACGCGCAAGGGCGGAGGCGUGCGGGAUGACUUGGCCGCGCGCGGGGCGGCGCUUGCGGCAGGCGGUACUCCACUCGGAGCGGCGGUGACCCAGAUCAAGGUGACGAUGGCGGCGGAGGUUGCAGUAGCCCCUCGGAUGGGCGGUGAUGGAGGCGUUCGCGGGAGCUGCUCACGUGGCCGAUGUGGCUGUGUGCGGCGGCACCGGCCCCGAGGGUCCUUCGGCCGAGCGGAGGUCGAGGCGGCGAUGGGAAGUGGAGGAGUGUGGCGGCAAAGCGAUGGCCGACGAGGUUGUGGCGAAGCGGCUGUGGCCCGUGGCACACGGGUCCGAGCGGCGUGGCGCCCACAAGCUGCUCGUCCGUGCGCCCUAGCCGACGGGUGAUGAUACGAAGGUGGCGGCGGGGAUUGGAGUGGCGACAGUGGAGGAUGGUGGAGUGAGGCGGCUUCUCUAGCCAUUGAUUUGCUUGGUGAUGCGGAUGGCUUCGAGGGGGAAGGAAAGGGGAAGGCAGAGGUGAUGUGGCGCGCGCCCAUUGCUUGGACGGCGGCGGCGUGGGCCCGGGCGUCGACAUCGACACAGUGGAGCACGUGUCGGCGGUGGAUGGGAUGGACGGCGAUGAGAUGCCGACAUCCACAGGAGAUUAUGUGGACUGGGUGCAUGGCGUAGGAGGGGCUGCGCCAGUGCGGCUCCCCGGCGGGGAUUUUGGACUUUAUGCCAUCUUCUCCAACGCCUCAUUCCUAAAUGCCACCCUCCUGAACAUCCUCGCUAAUUUGCCACUGGGCCCCACAAAACUGUUGUUUCUAUGCCAUUUUCCUCUAAUUUUAACGCCACCACACCGGCAGACGUGGAAUUCGGAUGGUGAAAUGUCCAUCUUGCCCCUUGGCGCGCGUGGACAGAAAAAGGCGUUGUUUCUUCGUCGUUUCACUCCGCCUCCCCUAAAAAACAUGAGCAGCCGCUUACGAAUCCACCGAGCAGCGACGGCGGCCAAACCGUGACAGCAAUCCCAGGUAGGAGAUCGAUAGAUCCACCAUCUUCCCCUCUUUUGGUUUAGUUUGGCAUCUGUUUCCCUCACUUUUUUCUCCGGAUUCACUUGUUUUUUUUUAAGAUCUGAUAGUCUAGGGUUUGUUGAGAAGGAGGCAUGGUUCCGUCUGAGUGGCCAUCGUGGUAAGAUCCAAAAUUCCUGCUUUAUUCUGUGUUGCUUUCAUGUGUCCACACACCACAGGGGCAAGACGGCCAAUUCACCAUCGAGAUUCCACGUCCGCUGUUGAUGUGGCGUCAAAAUGGGAAGAAAAUGGCAUAGAAUCAACCGUUUUGUGGGGUCAAUGGCAAAUUAGCGAGGAUGUUCAGGAGGAUGGCAUUUGGGAAUGAGGCGUUGGGGAAGAUGGCAUAAAGUACAAAAUCCCUCCCCGGCGUGCGUGCGUUGAACGUUAGUUCGGGGCGGCGCACGACACUGCUCGUGCUGCCGCGUGGUGCGGCGCGACACGGUGUGCGGUGCGACUCAGCGCGGGAGCGCAAUGCGGCGCACGCAAGGAGGAGGAGCGGUGCGGCACGUCGCGGUGGCUCGGUGACCUGGUGCGCCAGCCUUGCUCGGCUCGGCAUUUUGCCGACCACGUGGCGGGCGGCGUGUCGGCCUGGCCGACUGAGGCAAGGAAGGAGGGGAAGAAGACUCGGCUACAAUGGGGCAGGGGACGCAGAACGGACUUAUGCUGUAAUGAGCUGUUGGGUUGGCUGAGAACAGGAAAGCCCAAGCAAUAGGAGUAUUUGAAUGACUAUAACAAGGAAUUUGUAACUGGGACUUGAAAUUGGAAUUUGUAGAUUGCCUGUAAACAUGUAAUGGAUUGUAUGGUUGUAAAUGGACUGUAUAAUUGGACAAGUGACUUUGAGCCGAGAUUUGGGAUUGUGCACGGACUGUUUAA